AUUGAACGCUGGCGGCAGGCCUAACACAUGCAAGUCGAGCGGAUGAAGGGAGCUUGCUCCUGGAUUCAGCGGCGGACGGGUGAGUAAUGCCUAGGAAUCUGCCUGGUAGUGGGGGAUAACGUCCGGAAACGGGCGCUAAUACCGCAUACGUCCUGAGGGAGAAAGUGGGGGAUCUUCGGACCUCACGCUAUCAGAUGAGCCUAGGUCGGAUUAGCUAGUUGGUGGGGUAAAGGCCUACCAAGGCGACGAUCCGUAACUGGUCUGAGAGGAUGAUCAGUCACACGGGAACUGAGACACGGUCCAGACUCCUACGGGAGGCAGCAGUGGGGAAUAUUGGACGAUGGGGGAAAGCCUGAUCCAGCCAUGCCGCGUGUGUGAAGAAGGUCUUCGGAUUGUAAAGCACUUUAAGUUGGGAGGAAGGGCAGUAAGUUAAUACCUUGCUGUUUUGACGUUACCAACAGAAUAAGCACCGGCUAACUUCGUG
rnacentral:rRNA from 1 species